GAUAAUGACAGUCUUUUUUUUUUUUUUCCUACCAAACCCUCCCAUUGAUGAUUAGCUUCACCUGCCAUUUUCUCAAUGUCUGAACAAAAUAGUUAGAGACCUUUAUUUUAUUAUUUAAAUGGUUUCUCACAUUUUGAGCUCCAUCCUUCACCAAACCCCUUUUGCUUCUCCUCUCUCAAGAUUAGUAAGUUAUUGUUUACGUUUAAGAAAGCUGGAGAUGGCUCAAGAAGGUGGAAUCAUUAAUGAGCCGUUUGUUAUUGGAGAGGAAAAAGGUUCUGUAAGAUUGUCUACUCUAAACCGCCCUCGUCAGCUGAAUGUCAUCUCUCCGGAAGUGGUCCUCAAGCUUGCAGAAUACCUUGAAAUGUGGGAGAAGGAUGACCAAGCAAAGCUUAUACUAAUCAAGGGUGCUGGUAGAGCUUUCUCCGCCGGUGGUGAUCUUAAGAUGUUUUAUAAAGGCAGGGAUUCAAAGGAUUCUUGCCUUGAGGUUGUUUACCGGAUGUACUGGCUUUGCUUCCAUAUCCACACAUACAAGAAGACACAGGUUUCUCUUGUUAAUGGAAUAUCCAUGGGUGGAGGUGCAUCAUUGAUGGUCCCAAUGAAGUUUUCAGUUGUGACAGAGAAAACUGUAUUCUCAACUCCAGAAGCAAGUAUCGGGUUUCACACUGAUUGUGGGUUCUCCUACAUCCAUUCACGUCUUCCUGGUUAUUUAGGUGAGUUCUUGGCUUUGACUGGGGCAAGAUUAAACGGCAAAGAACUUGUAGCAAUUGGAAUGGCAACACACUUUGUACCUUCUGAUAAAUUGGCGGAUCUGGAGGCACAGCUUGUGACGUUAGACUCAGGAGACGUGAACGUAGUCCGGUCCACAAUUGAAGAGUUCUCCGAGAAAGUCAACCUCGACAAAGACAGCAUCCUUAACAAGCAGUCAGUAAUUAAUGUGUGUUUCUCAAAAGAAAGUGUGAAGCAGAUCAUACAAGCAUUUGAAGCUGAAGCGAGCAAAGAGGGAAAUGAGUGGAUAACUCCAGUCAUCAAAGGUCUUAAACGAUCGUCACCUACAGGGUUGAAGAUAACCCUACGAUCGAUCCGUGAAGGUAGAAAUCAAACGCUGAGUGAUUGCCUGAAGAAAGAGUUUCGUCUCACCGUGAAUACCUUAAGGAAAACCAUAUCUGCUGAUAUGUAUGAGGGUAUAAGGGCUCUGACCAUAGAUAAAGACAAUUCUCCAAAGUGCAGUGGAAUCCAGCGACACUAGAUGAGGUAGAUGAUGAGAAUAUCAAUUUGAUGUUUAAGCCCUUGGAGGAUGAUAUUGAGCUUCUUAUCCCUGAAACAGAAGAAAAUAGGUGGGGAGGCAAAUACGCUACUUCAGGCUAUGCAUCACUGAUACAGUGUAAAAGAGAAGAGAACUGAGCGCAUGUUCAAAUUGUAAAACUGUACCCUAAAAACUGAAACUCCACGUGUGUUGUAUUAUUAUUACAUAAUAAUGUGUUGCUUGACACUCAGGUGCAGCGAUGAUAAAAUAAGGUUUACGAAUGUAA